CCUACGGGGGGCAGCAGUGGGGAAUAUUGGACAAUGGGGGGAACCCUGAUCCAGCCAUGCCGCGUGUGUGAAGAAGGCCCUCGGGUUGUAAAGCACUUUCAGUGAGGAAGAACGCCUGGUGGUUAAUACCCAUCAGGAAAGACAUCACUCACAGAAGAAGCACCGGCUAACUCCGUGCCAGCAGCCGCGGUAAUACGGAGGGUGCGAGCGUUAAUCGGUAUUACUGGGCGUAAAGCGCGCGUAGGUGGCUUGAUAAGCCGGUUGUGAAAGCCCCGGGCUCAACCUGGGAACGGCAUCCGGAACUGUCAAGCUAGAGUGCAGGAGAGGAAGGUAGAAUUCCCGGUGUAGCGGUGAAAUGCGUAGAGAUCGGGAGGAAUACCAGUGGCGAAGGCGGCCUUCUGGACUGACACUGACACUGAGGUGCGAAAGCGUGGGUAGCAAACAGGAUUAGAUACCCGGGUAGUC
rnacentral:rRNA from 1 species